rnacentral:lncRNA from 1 species
CGACCGGGGAGGAGGUAGAAGCGUGAGAGAGGGGCAGAGAGCCGAUCGGAACGGCCAUCCGAGAAAACGCUCCUGUGGCGCAAACGCCUCGCUGAGCAGGCGGCGGGGCGAGCCACGAGGCAGGGAGCGGCCCGCCCGCAGGGGUGGGGGGCGGGGCCGGAACUCGAUGGGAGGGUACCGGAACUCGGAGGUGAGCAGUCAGUCAAGCUCUGACUCCGGAUCACAUACCGAUUCAAAUUCGGAGGAGGAAAUGGGGACAGAUAGCAAAAAUAUCCCCAUCCGAAAUAAAGCUGCACCGCGAGGCAGAGAAAUUCCUCUCAUGGAUUGGAGGAAAAUUAAGAUUGCGUGCGCUGUCUGGGCUUUAUCGGCCAUGCUAGCGUUCCCGGUCUGGGUGACAGACAGGGGGCAGAGGGUUCACUCACCAACAAACCCUAAAGAUGUGCAAGCGAUAGUUAAAGCCAUUGUGGAUAAAGGGCUUCAUUCUGCAAUGGUCUCCACCCUCAUAGAUGGUGUUUUCAGGGGAGACGACAUGCUCCCGUUUGAUAUAAAACAAACUUGUAGACUGAUCUUUGACGGGGGUGGGAUGAUCAUUUUUAAACGAGAAUGGGGGGACAACUGUAAGAGACAACUGGCCCAAGUAACUGGGACGGAUCACACACUGUAUGGCUCUAGCCUGCAGCGGCGAAUGGGUACGGACCCAACAGUGAUCACCCCCCAGGCGCAAGUCCAGGGCCUGAGGGCCCACGAAGGAACGGAUCAUCAGGCACCCCUGUAAUCUGUAUACCCCGGCGAUAUGAGAAGACAAUAAGUCAGCAAGCGUCCUGUUUAAGCCUGAGAGUUCCACACUGGCAGAAUCCAGACACCAGCGAAGCAGCCUCCGUGGGUGGGGGGCUGCAAUGUGUUUGUGUGAUCUUAUCUUUGGACCUUGUAUACUAAAUAUGCUUGUGUUGUUUGUUAAAAGUUGGUUAGAGAAAGUUAAUAUUAUGUUGGUAGAACACCAACAACUACUUUAAGAGUGUAUUUACUCAGGGUUACCAGUUACCUCCUAGUUUUCUCCUGGUUAUUGUGCCUUAUGUUUUUCAGUUAAGUUAUGAUGUCUACAUCUUAAGAUGGUUAUAUUUUAGCUAAUUUGGUUGUGCAUAGGGAGGGGGGAGAUGUGGGUAGUUAGGGUCUGGCGGCCGG